GGGCACAUGGUGUAGUUGGUUAUCACGCUCGCUUAGCAGUUCUGCGGGUAUUGGGUUCACUUCCCAAUGUGUGCGAGAGGUGUUGGGUUCAAUUCCCAAUGUGUCCA